UCUUACCUUGCGAAGUGCAUCACAUCAUGUGAGAACCUUGAUUAGAAACAUGAAAAGAUUUGAAAAAAAAUAUCUGUCGACAUCCAGUUGACGGUACACAUCCAUUGCAAAUCCUGCAGUCGACCAUAAUCUGCGCGUUGAAAUCCGGUUUGUUUACGAACCAGAUGUCACUUUCUGUACACGAUUCUGAUUGGACUAUGCAUAGAUUCGUUAGUCCAGCCAAAAUACGACUCCAUAAUUCCAGCCUAGUUUGGCGAGGGGAGAAACAUGACUUUACAACUCCCUUGCCUCGAGAAGAUGCUAUCUGUAUGACAGAUUCAGAGUAAUGAUUUGCCGUAAUAAAAACCAAGGUCACAUUUAAGUACUGGUCUAUGUGUGGGCAUGUAUGUCAAAGUAGCCUUCAAACUCUCAUUUCAGGAACAGUCUUGGUUUGUGUACCAGAAAACAGGGUAAAUUUUACUGGUGUAAAUUAUUUUGUGAGAAAAGUUCAAUCAAGAUGUACUGCUGACGUUGGAAGGACGGAAUUCCUUUGUAACAGAUUUUGGCCUUGUGUUAUUUUAGGCCUAACUGAUUUUGGUAUCAUGGGCUGUCUAAGACUUUCUGUUCCACUAUUGUGACAAUGAUUAAGAGCUUCUGAGCUAACCUGCAUAAAGCGAUGUUGGUGCUAUGGUAGUCUAGCCCUACGACAAUCGUAACUCCCAUACUCUUAAUAUGGGCUUAUGAUAGUCGUAGUUCUAUGAUGAUCGUAACUCCCAUACUAUUAAUAUGGGCUUGAUAGUCGUAGCACUAUGACAAUCGUAACUCCCAUACUCUUAAUAUGGGCUUAUGAUAGUCGUAGUUCUAUGAUGAUCGUAACUCCCAUACUAUUAAUAUGGGCUUAUGAUAGUCGUAGCUAUAUGACAAUCGUAACUCCCAUACUCUUAACAUGGGCUUAUGACAGGUGUAGCUCCAAGUAUGUUGCUAUAUAUUCAUUAGGUAAGUUAAAGCUGUGUGUUGUUAGACAUUCAUUAACUAGGUUAACGCUGUCAAUAUGUCGUUAGAAGGUCAUUAUGUAGAUGCACAUAGAAUUAACCAUGUACCUUGCUCAAGAUUUGUGUUGAUAUUAUCAUUCGUAUAUUUGCAUAUUGUAUCCAUAUGACACACUUAACAAAUACCUAGAACAUGUAAUCUAAGGUAUACUGUUGUGACUUUCAUGAUUUAGAUUUCAGUUUCUAGUUAAGGGUUGAAAUAUUUUCCUAAUGAUAAACUUUUGAUUACUAAUUGACCUCUGCAAAAAACGAUUGGGGUAAUUUUCAGCUUUCAUUCAAAUUUGACGCAGUCUUGUUUCUGUUAUUAAUAAGUUGAGAAUGGACUACUUGGAUAUCGUCAAUACUUAACUGGUUUGCGUACACUGUGUUCCUCCAUCACCCUUGAAUACAUGCCCCGCCCUGCCGCGCCCUGCCCCCAUAAUGCAGGUAUACAAACCUGUGUUGUAUUGACAGUGUACAUGAAAGAAAUUUCCUUAUUGGAAAGAAAUUCUGUUUAUAUUUGACUCCUAUGUAAGUGCCCAAGUAGUAAUAAAUAAGCUCUAAUGAAAGAAAUUUAAUUUUAUGCUUAGCUUAAAUAUAUUACUCAAAAGAAGUUAAGGAACUAGCUCUUUCAUAUCACUUUAGUUGAUCUGUCAUGGCAUAAUAUGAAAGAAUCAAGUGUUGGCUUCGUUCGAGUAGUAUAUAACAGUGUGGCAUAGUCUGAUUCCUGUUCCGUUUUGUGUCAGUGUUUCAAACAAUGGCAUCCUGUACACAGGGAACUUGUGAUAUUCACCCAUGUUGUGGCCUGGUGUUGACGAAACUUCAAAUUUGUCCCCAAACCGUUUUGACGUUACAUAAUAAUGUGGUGUGAGUAUUUCUGUCGAGUCGGUGGUCUUGUAUGUUUCUACCACCUGAUGUUUAUAAGUGUACAGAUUAACCCUGUUGAUGGCAGGUCUUGUAUAUUUGCAGGUUUCUAUAGCGACGUUCUGCUGCUGCUCGUUAUUGUACAAAGUACUCCCUGUAUAGUGUCUAUGUAGGUAUUAACUCCUAGACUUGUCAUGACAUGUAAAUAGAUAUUUAAUAUGUACAUUUUCUGUACACAGAAGAGUAAAGAAACUGUUUAAAUA